rnacentral:rRNA from 1 species
UACGUAGGGUGCAAGCGUUGUCCGGAAUUAUUGGGCGUAAAGAGCUCGUAGGCGGUCUGUUGCGUCGGCUGUGAAAACCCGAGGCUCAACCUCGGGCCUGCAGCCGAUACGGGCAGACUAGAGUUCGGCAGGGGAGACUGGAAUUCCUGGUGUAGCGGUGAAAUGCGCAGAUAUCAGGAGGAACACCGGUGGCGAAGGCGGGUCUCUGGGCCGAUACUGACGCUGAGGAGCGAAAGCGUGGGGAGCGGACAGG